AGUGCAAUCAGCCUCUUCUCCUUUCUGUUAGAUCACAUUCAUCUCUUUUUCUAAUUAUCUGAACAAAGACAUUACCUCCGUCUGCUUCAGCUUUCUCAUCGUUACAGAACAACAGGAUGCAUUUUAUAUUGCUCGCCUUUUCAACCUUCAUACCAUCCCUUAUCAAAGCGUCAUCACUUCCUGUCUGAUCGUGAGCUCAGCGCUGCAGUGAGAGACGAGCUCAUCUCUUUCUAGACGGCAGUCGUCUCCAGAUCGGAUUGGAAAGCAGGCUGGCUCUGAACCAGGACAUUCACCCACAUAUUACCUCAGUCACUGCUGGAGAAUGAUUUUCAUAAUACUCACUUUUUCAACUUUGAUACACUGUAUAUUCUCUCAGACAAUUCGCCAGACCCCACUGUUUAUCUCCAAGUUUCCAGGAGACACAGUCAAAAUGGAUUGUUCUGUAAAGGGUACCUCCACCCCCAACAUGUACUGGUACAGACAGGACUCCAUUGGAGGGAUAGAGAUGCUGUUCCUCUCCAGAGCAGCUGGAAUGGUUGAUGAGUCUCCAAUCAAAGAUUUCACAGCUCAGAGAACAGACAGUGAGAGCUUCAGUCUGCAAACAGAGAGGCUGUCUCUGAACCACACUGCUGUGUAUUACUGUGCAUGGAGUAGUCACGGUGAUUGAGGCAGACAGGGACGCCCAACAAAAACCUCAAAGCAGCUGUACCUGUGCAGUAAACACAAUCCUAAACCACAGGUGUCACAAUGCUUGGAGUGAAUGGUAUAGUUUGUAUAUGUUUAAGAAGGUUGUUACCAAUGUUGAAAAUAAAAAUUCGGAAAGUUUCUGUCCUAUUGACAAAACUAUCUAUAAGAAAUGUAAUUGAACCACUUCUUCAGAAAGGUAUUUGUUUCCAAAAAAGUUGAGCUUAUGACUUUUUUGAAAGGUUAACCCCCACCCCCCUGCAUUUUAGUGGACCCAACAUACUUGUUACUGCAGAUUUUCUGUUUUCGUCGUCAUGAAACCUAUUUAAAUGUGUUAAUUUUACAACAAACCCAUACGGAAAAUAAAUAUAUUUUUAAUAUAUGGAAUUAUAUAUUUUUUAACCUGAAAUGUAUUUAUAAUAUA